rnacentral:rRNA from 1 species
CCUGAUCCAGCCAUGCCGCGUGUGUGAAGAAGGCCUUCGGGUUGUAAAGCACUUUCGGCCGGAACGAAAUCGCGCGAUCUAAUACCUCGCGUGGAUGACGGUACCGGAAGAAGAAGCACCGGCUAACUACGUGCCAGCAGCCGCGGUAAUACGUAGGGUGCGAGCGUUAAUCGGAAUUACUGGGCGUAAAGUGUGCGCAGGUGGCCGCGCAAGUCGAGUGUGAAAUCCCCGAGCUUAACUUGGGAAUUGCGCUCGAAACUACUUGGCUCGAGUGUGGCAGAGGAAGGUGGAAUUCCACGUGUAGCGGUGAAAUGCGUAGAGAUGUGGAGGAACACCGAUGGCGAAGGCAGCCUUCUGGGCCAACACUGACGCUCAUGCACGAAAGCGUGGGGAGCAAACAGGAUUAGAUACCCUGGUAGUCCACGCCCUAAACGAUGAUGACUAGUUGUUGGGGGAGUUAAAUCCCUUAGUAACGCAGCUAACGCGUGAAGUCAUCCGCCUGGGGAGUACGGUCGCAAGAUUAAAACUCAA